rnacentral:misc_RNA from 1 species
GAUGAAGAACGCAGCAAAAUGCGAUAAGUAAUGUGAAUUGCAGAAUUCAGUGAAUCAUCCAAUCUUUGAACGCACAUUGCGCCCGCUGGUAUUCCGGCGGGCAUGCCUGUUCGAGCGUCAUUUCAACCCUCAAGCCCCCGGGUUUGGUGUUGGGGAUCGGCUCUGCCCUUCUGGGCGGUGCCGCCCCCGAAAUACAUUGGCGGUCUCGCUGCAGCCUCCAUUGCGUAGUAGCUAACACCUCGCAACUGGAACGCGGCGCGGCCAUGCCGUAAAACCCCAACUUCUGAAUGUUGACCUCGGAUCAGGUAGGAAUACCCGCUGAACUUAAGCAUAUCAAUAAGCGGAGGA